rnacentral:rRNA from 1 species
GACGAACGCUGGCGGCGUGCUUAACACAUGCAAGUCGAACGAUGAGCUCCCGCUUGCGGGGGUGAUUCGUGGCGAACGGGCGAGUAAUACGUGAGUAACCUGCCCUUGACUCUGGGAUAAGCCUGGGAAACCGGGUCUAAUACUGGAUACUACUUCCUGCCGCAUGGAGGGGGGUGGAAAGGGUUUUACUGGUUUUGGAUUGGCUCACGGCCUAUCAGCUUGUUGGUGGAGUAAUGGCUCACCAAGGCGACGACGGGUAGCCGGCCUGAGGGGGUGACCGGCCGCCCUGGCACUGAGACGCGGCCCCGGCUGGUACUGGGGGGCGCUGUGGGGAAGCUUGCACGAUGGGCGGCGGCCUGGUGAAGCGGGGCCUCGUGUCGGAUGACUGCCUUAGGGUUGUAGACCUAAUUCAGCAGGGACUAAGCCACUAGUGACGGUACCUGCAGAAGAAGCCCCGGCUAACUACGUG